AUACAUGCAAGUCGAGCGGACAGAUGGGAGCUUGCUCCCUUAUGUCAGCGGCGGACGGGUGAGUAACACGUGGGUAACCUGCCUGUAAGACUGGGAUAACUCCGGGAAACCGGGGCUAAUACCGGAUGCUUGAUUGAACCGCAUGGUUCAAUUAUAAAAGGUGGCUUUUAGCUACCACUUACAGAUGGACCCGCGGCGCAUUAGCUAGUUGGUGAGGUAACGGCUCACCAAGGCAACGAUGCGUAGCCGACCUGAGAGGGUGAUCGGCCACACUGGGACUGAGACACGGCCCAGACUCCUACGGGAGGCAGCAGUAGGGAAUCUUCCGCAAUGGACGAAAGUCUGACGGAGCAACGCCGCGUGAGUGAUGAAGGUUUUCGGAUCGUAAAACUCUGUUGUUAGGGAAGAACAAGUACCGUUCGAAUAGGGCGGUACCUUGACGGUACCUAACCAGAAAGCCACGGCUAACUACGUGCCAGCAGCCGCGGUAAUACGUAGGUGGCAAGCGUUGUCCGGAAUUAUUGGGCGUAAAGCGCGCGCAGGCGGUUUCUUAAGUCUGAUGUGAAAGCCCCCGGCUCAACCGGGGAGGGUCAUUGGAAACUGGGGAACUUGAGUGCAGAAGAGGAGAGUGGAAUUCCACGUGUAGCGGUGAAAUGCGUAGAGAUGUGGAGGAACACCAGUGGCGAAGGCGACUCUCUGGUCUGUAACUGACGCUGAGGCGCGAAAGCGUGGGGAGCGAACAGGAUUAGAUACCCUGGUAGUCCACGCCGUAAACGAUGAGUGCUAAGUGUUAGAGGGUUUCCGCCCUUUAGUGCUGCAGCAAACGCAUAAGCACUCCGGCCCUGGGGGG
rnacentral:rRNA from 1 species